UCCUGUUCCUAGUACUAUUGUGGCAGACGAAGAGGAAAACAUGGGGUUUUCGCCGGUUCAGCAAGAGCCGGAGUCUCUUCACCUGCAGGAUGUUGAUGUUUGCCCUCAAGAAUUCAGCCAAACAGGCCUUGGGCAGAACUCCCCCCCGUUUUCCAGGAGGGAAAAUUAUUCUAAAGAUAGGGGAGUCAGGGAGGCUAAUCGGAGAAUCGCUGCCAAACAAAUGGCUGAUUAGGUCUGCUUCCCUUGGGAAAUUCUAAGGAGUCAUGCAUCUGGACAGAGUUGGGUUUCACUUCUCGUUCUCUAGGGAAAGAG
rnacentral:lncRNA from 11 species